CUCAAGGCGCUCAAGGCUAUAAACAUUUUCAAAUUUAAUGAAUUUUCUUGUUGGAUUUGUUUUUGAUAGGCCACGGAAAAGGAAACGGAUUUUGAAAUGUAUUUUUAUUGCUUGUUUCUGGCGGUGGUUCUGGAGACAGCGUGUCGAUCCAGCUGUAGAACGUCAUCCGGAGGUGGCAGAGUGUGAUGGCCAGCCACGCGGCGCGCGUAUCGACAUUGACCAGAAACUAUCACAUCAUCUCCAGGUCACUGGUCGAGGGCGCUCGAGCUGACGGUGUCUUCCGACGGCUCCACGGUGACCAGCGCCGCCACCGCCGAGACCAUCCGACUCCUGAAAUGCUAACGGCCGUGCACGAACAAGAGGCUCUAAGCAUCCAGGUGCAAGGCAAGCGCCAUGCUCAGAGGUGUCAUCCGAAGAAGGCCGCACAGUGCACUUUAGGGUGAGCUCGGGUGUAGUGCGCGCCGACGGAUAGGAUGAAAUGACGGGCCGGCCAUCAGAUUUCAGUGCGGGGAUCAAGAUGGUCGGAGCCGAUGUGGCUCUGUUGAUGGUGUGGCAGGGUUGAUUGAGAGUGAAAGCGAGACACCCGGAUCUGUAAAGAAUACGCCGAUACGGGUCUCGAACGUCGUCUCGCAAUUUGUGCUCUGUAAUAUGACGGCUAUGCCGUGGUAUCAUUCACUCUCGGUGCGCUAAUAAAUAAUAAAUAGGACA